CAGAUAAACACCACUUUGUGUGUGAUCAGUGUUUAUUGUGUGAAACCUGUAAGCCACAAGCUCUACGCGUGUACUUGAGUGUUGGUCUGCCUGUGGAUGCCAUACUUUCUCCUGUACAGACUAACUCGGCUGCCCCUGGAAGCUUCAAAUACAACCGUAUCGCAUGGUGGCUGCAGAGAGGUUAAAAGACGAGCGAUGACGUCCAGGACAGCAAACCCCCUCCUGGCAGCAGCCGCUCUAGUCGAAUAUGCCGGAAGAAGUGAGCUCGGUGGAAAAGAUAAUAAAGGCCCAGGCCUGAGCUCCUUGGGGACAAAGGAGAACAAGCUGGACUAAAGAGUGCCGGAUGUGGGAGGUUCAACCUAUACUAAUUAAUCAGAAUGAGAAUGAGAAUGGAAUAGUGACCAAUAGCUGGUUUGCACUGCUCAGUAUUUGCCGUUUCUCUGUUUAUUUACAUUCAUGAC